UCCCAAAAAUAAACGUCCCAGUUCGGACUGUAGUCUGCAACCCGACUACACGAAGCUGGAAUCGCUAGUAAUCGCGAAUCAGAAUGUCGCGGUGAGUACGUUCCCGGGUCUUGUACACACCGCCCGUCACACCAUGGGAGUCGGAAAUGCCCGAAGUCAGUGACCCAACCGUAAGGAGGGAGCUGCCGAAGGUGGAGCCGGUAACUGGGGUGAAGUCGUAACAAGGUACC
rnacentral:rRNA from 1 species